UGAAGUGCAACUGUGAUGCUAUUGUGCUUCGAAGAGAAGAUUAUUUGGGAGCUGGAUGAGUUAUUAGUGAUAUUUCUUGUUCUUUGUUGAAUGCGUGUCAAGUGGCUGUGUUUGGGCCUCCAAAAACUGGUGUCGCUGAAGCUUUGGCUCUUCCAAGUGCUCUUUCCUAGGUCAGCAUGCUUCUUUGCAAAAUGUUGUAUUCAAAUUUGACUCCCAAGUUAGAGAGUUCAUGCUGUAGAUUGUUCCCAUUUGGACUUUUCAUAUUUUG
rnacentral:misc_RNA from 1 species